ensembl:lincRNA
GUUUGUAAAGAAACCCGUAAUGUCUUUAAAUCACUCUUCCGUAAAUAGAUUACCUUUUUGCAGUGUUAGCAAAGCAAAGCAAACAAAACACUUGGGAGCGGAGCAAAACCAGUUGCAUAGACACUGUGGGAUACAAGUCAGCAAGCUCUGCAACUUGGCACAGGGAGCUUUCAGGAGGCUGCCGCUGGUCUGGAGAAGGUAAGUCAUGUUCUGUGGAUGUGACCAAUGUGUCCAAUUACAGUGAACAUCGAUGGUGGCAUCCACAGAACCCAGGUCUUACGACAGCUGGAAGAACACUGGCAAUGGAAUGCUGCCUGUCAAUCAUGUUCUCUUGAUAAGCACUAAGGACCAGCACAGCUCUUCUGAAGAGGAAGUGGAGCUUUGGCAGCAGUUACGAGAAGAGGAGAGUAAUAUUGUUUGCCCCAGUUUGAAGAUGACUGAUGUGAAGCACAGUGUUGAAGUUAUUGCAAAAGGCCGUGGAGCCAGUGAUGAUUACAGGGCGGAUUUGACCCCCGAUGUGCCCUCUCUGUACUUGUGCUGACGUGAAUCAUGCAUCACUUGCUCCCAGUGAAUGCCACCCAGCCUGAUGCCCUGUCACCAAGGGUGGUUUCACCACCACGAGAGGUGUGUAUUUUUUACUCCAGACCCCUAGAAUAUUCUGGCCCAAGAGCUAAGAACAUCACUUUGCAUCAGAAAGACCUGGAUACAAACAUUGUCUCAGCAAUUGACGAGUUGGGACACACGUCUAAGUUACUUACUUAAUCUUUCUGAGGACCAGUUUCCUUUUCUAUAAGUUUGGGCAACCCUCCCUAUCUUAUAGGGUUGGUGGGAACAUGAAAACUAAGGAUGGUGAGACUUCUGUGUCAGGCUAAGACAGUGAUUCCCUAUGAAGCACACGAGUCCAGGUGUGAGGUCUGUACAUCCUGGUGUUUUUGCUCCAAAGAAGACCGUUUCCCUCAUUGUUAAGAGUUUCCAUUCAGAUGAGCUCAACGGGAGAAGAUGGGCAUGAUCCUUUUCUUUGGUCAUCACUGGCUUUUGCCCUCGUCCUCAGAAUACACGUUUUUCAUGUGAAAUCUGCUCUCGGCUCCACCAAUCAACCAAGAACCUAGGCUACCCCAGCCUCUCCUGCAGCUGUUUCCUUGGCAACCAGAGCCCAGCCAGAGAGCUCACCAAACCACAGUGGGACCAAGUGAACCCCUGCAGGAAUAUCUGCACCUUCCUUUUAAAACGCAAGACACCACACCAGAGCCUCUUUCUCUUGCACUAAUGCCAACCCAGCUGCCAUCACUUCGUGUUUGUAGAACCCUGUCAUCUGGGCACCUCAAAGCAGAUACACGUUUGUGUCAUGGGUCUUUCCCUGUUGAGAUCAUCAUCAUUAUUCACGUUAUUCCUGUAAGGAAUCACCUGUGAGAAAAAUCAAAGGAUUCUCCAAUGGGCUCUUUUGUUCUCCUUAUCUUUUUUUUAUUUUUUUUAAACUCCGUGCAUGGCGCUCCCUCGCAGUUACUAUUGCAAAUGGAAUAGUAAAUAGGAAAAUGCCACACUACAGUGCUAAAAUGUUGGGGUGAAAAAUCACAAGGUAUUGUACAGUUCCCCAGUUAGUAUAGCCCCAUUGACCUUCCACGGUAAUCAAAACUGAGCUCACCUGAUGUCCAAGCCGGGUGUUGUGAUUGUGGUUUAUUUUCUGUCUGACUGGGACCGUCCGUGAAGAGGGCUCACACAGCCCGUAAGAGUGUCUUUUCUCUGUCAACCACCCCUCAUACCAGAGGUGUUCCUCAGGAGCUCCUCCCAGUAAUGGAGAGACUGUGGAGGAUUGCCAUUUGAUUAUAUGAACCUUUCCAAAUAGGGAUCAUUUAGGACAGGGCUUCUGAAGCCCUGGUGACUAUAUGAAUCACCUGGGGAGUUUAUUAAACACCUGGUUCUGAUUCAGUCUGAGGUCGGCCUUGAGCGUCUGCAUUUCGGACAAGUUGCCAGGUGGUGAUUCUACUGCAGGUCAGAGGACUGGAUUUUCAGUAGCCAGAGCUCAGGCUCUAUGUCCAUAUUCUUGUGAUGACAUGUGUACCUGUGCUUGCUCCCCAAGUGGGAGAGAAAGAAUAUACCUUGCAUUCUUAUAGGGAUUUCAGUAUUUUAAACCACUUUAAUAUUCCUCUUAGGCAAGCAGGAUAGGUAAUAUUGUCCCCCCACGCCCCAUAGCGCAUAGUUAAUGAGAUUCCGGAUCCAAUUUUUCAUACCUGUUCAUCACAAAAGACUAAUCAAAGUAGAAUGUUUUUGUCAUUAUUAGAGUAUGUAUAUGAAUUAGAAAAGCAUUAUUAUGAUUAUUAAACACACUCACAGACAAUAUCGAAAUGUUCUCUAAACCAAAGUGGGCUUAGGUUACAAGGAAAUUAUGUCCUAGAUCGCAGAAAGGUUCUUAGAGACAUCUCUGCGGAAGGGGGUUUCUUUAGCAAUGGUGCUUCUUCAGAAACUCCCUUAUCAUAGUCAAGUGAACUUUGCUCUGGCUCGAUAUUUGCUGGCUGCUGUUCAGAUUGAUUGAGAUUCCAUAAUUCUGGCGAGACUAACUAGAUGUCAGGGAAUAACCUACCUCCAAGCUCCAGGGGGUUGAAAUGGUGUGCUCCAUUUCCAAGAUAAACGUCCCCUUGGAACUUUAACGUGACCUGGUUUGGAAGAAGAGAGUAGAUGGAAUUAAGGUAAGGAUCUCCAGAUGAGAUCAGUCCUGCUUUAGGGUGGACCCUAGAUCCCAUGAUGACUGUACUUAUAAGAGAGAAGAAGACACAGGGGACGCGGGGAAGGCAUAUGAAAAUGGAGGCAGAGAACGGAGUAAUUAAUGCUGUGACAAUCCAGGAAACAGUGGGAGGCAUCAGAGCUGGGAGAAGCAAGUAAAGACUUUCACUGGAGAUUUUGGAGGGAGCUUGGCCCUGCUGACCCUAACUUCAGAUUUCUGGCCUCCAGAACUGUAAAACAAUACAGUUUUUAAAGCCUUCAAGUCUAUGGUCAUUUGUCGUGGCCACCCUAGGAAACAAACAACCCCUUCCAAAUCUUCCAAGGAUUAAAAAUGGUCCUGCCUUAGAAAGCUGCUCUCCGUGCUGUCGAGCUCUGUCCUCGGGUCACAGGCAUUUGGCCUCAGCGUGGCAGUUCUAUGUGGCACCUCCAGGGGAGAGUGGUAGCCUGAGCCCAGAAGACAGGGCAGUUUACCCUUAGGUAAACGGAAAUGUUAUUUACUGAGCAGACAUAUUUGUGGACUGAAAUGAACUCAGUGUACCUUAAGGAAGGUGAGUCACAACUCUGAAUUCAUUCAACAAAGUGAGACCCCUUGACUACUUUUUGAUGGAAAUAAGUAAGGAGAACUUUGGGUAUGUUUACAGUCAUGAAAUAUUUACACUCUUGGGUUUUCUUUCUUCUUCUUUUUUUUUAAUGCCUUGAAAAAGC